GACCCAUCCCGAGCGGCUGAGAGAUCUGGAUCUGUGACGCCGCAGCAACCCUGGCCCGCCGUCAGCACGAAAUCGGCCCGCCAAAGGUGCUACUGCCAGAAGCGAUGGUGA
rnacentral:ncRNA from 2 species